rnacentral:rRNA from 1 species
GACGAACGCUGGCGGCGUGCUUAACACAUGCAAGUCGAACGAGAAUCAAUGGAAAGAGACUUCGGUCAAUGGAAGUUGAGGACAGUGGCGGACGGGUGAGUAACGCGUGAGGAACCUGCCUUUCAGAGGGGGACAACAGUUGGAAACGACUGCUAAUACCGCAUAACGCAUAGGUGUCGCAUGGCACUUAUGCCAAAGAUUUAUCGCUGAAAGAUGGCCUCGCGUCUGAUUAGCUAGUUGGUGAGGUAACGGCUCACCAAGGCGACGAUCAGUAGCCGGACGGAGAGGUUGGCCGGCCACAUUGGGACUGAGAUACGGCCCAGACUCCUACGGGAGGCAGCAGUGGGGAAUAUUGGGCAAUGGGCGCAAGCCUGACCCAGCAACGCCGCGUGAAGGAAGAAGGCUUUCGGGUUGUAAACUUCUUUUGUCAGGGAAGAGUAGAAGACGGUACCUGACGAAUAAGCCACGGCUAACUGCGUGCCAGCCGCCGCAGUAAAAC